UAGGGAAUCUUCCGCAAUGGACGCAAGUCUGACGGAGCAACGCCGCGUGAGUGAAGAAGGAUUUCGGUUCGUAAAACUCUGUUGUUAGAGAAGAACAGCGCAUAGAGUAACUGUUAUGCGUGUGACGGUAUCUAACCAGAAAGCCACGGCUAACUACGUGCCAGCAGCCGCGGUAAUACGUAGGUGGCAAGCGUUGUCCGGAUUUAUUGGGCGUAAAGCGAGCGCAGGCGGUCAAUUAAGUCUGAUGUGAAAGCCCCUGGCUCAACCGGGGAGGGUCAUUGGAAACUGGUUGACUUGAGUGCAGAAGAGGAGAGUGGAAUUCCAUGUGUAGCGGUGAAAUGCGUAGAUAUAUGGAGGAACACCGGUGGCGAAAGCGGCUCUCUGGUCUGUAACUGACGCUGAGGCUCGAAAGCGUGGGGAGCGAACAGG
rnacentral:rRNA from 1 species